UACGUAGGGACCAAGCGUCGUUCGGAUUUACUGGGCGUAAAGGGCGCGUAGGCGGCGUGGUAAGUCACUUGUGAAAUCUCUGAGCUUAACUCAGAACGGCCAAGUGAUACUGCUGUGCUAGAGUGCAGAAGGGGCAAUCGGAAUUCUUGGUGUAGCGGUGAAAUGCGUAGAUAUCAAGAGGAACACCUGAGGUGAAGACGGGUUGCUGGGCUGACACUGACGCUGAGGCGCGAAAGCCAGGGGAGCAAACGGG
rnacentral:rRNA from 1 species